UACGGGGGGGGCAAGGCGUUGUUCGGAAUUACUGGGCGUAAAGGGCUCGUAGGCGGCCAACUAAGUCAGACGUGAAAUCCCUCGGCUUAACCGGGGAACUGCGUCUGAUACUGGAUGGCUUGAGAUUGGGAGAGGGAUGCGGAAUUCCAGGUGUAGCGGUGAAAUGCGUAGAUAUCUGGAGGAACACCGGUGGCGAAGGCGACAUCCUGGACCAACACUGACGCGUGAGGAGCGAAAGCCAGGGGAGCAAAGCGGG
rnacentral:rRNA from 1 species